rnacentral:lncRNA from 1 species
GGAGUCCAGACAGAAUCCUAACAGAUACAAACUAGAAAUACCUGGGAGAGAGAGCUUCUAUGAAUCACCUGCCUGUUCUUCCAGUUUCCGAUGAGGAUUGAGGAGAAAGACUCUUCAGGAAUCCUCCAGGCCUUUGGUGCCAGAUGGAUAUUGCUGAGACAUCAGCCUCAUGGACUGAGCAAGUACUGGGCUUCACCCUCUUCCCUGAGACAGCCAUUGUUGGACUAUUCUGACCACAACCUACAGCACGUGGGAGAACCAGUUGGAGCUGAUACCGACAGGUGUGGAACACCAUGGAGUUACCUUCUGCAGUGUUCUGCAAAGGGGUCCUACUCACUGUCUCACUUUUAACAUGCUGAAACACUCCAGUCAUAGCCAAACUAACUAUUGAAGUGCCAGCCAAUGUUGUUGAAGGGCACAGCAUUCUUCUACAUGUUCACAAUAAAUCACAGAAUUGGCAAGCCUU